rnacentral:rRNA from 1 species
UACAGAGGUCUCAAGCGUUGUUCGGAUUCAUUGGGCGUAAAGGGUGCGUAGGCGGCGCGGUAAGUCGGACGUGAAAUCUCCACGCUCAACGUGGAGGGGCCGUUCGAUACUGUCGUGACUCGAGUCCGGUAGGGGAGUGUGGAAUUCCCGGUGUAGCGGUGAAAUGCGCAGAGAUCGGGAGGAACACCCGUAGCGAAGGCGGCACUCUGGGCCGGUACUGACGCUGAGGAGCGAAAGCGUGGGGAGCAAACAGG